UACGGAGGGUGCGAGCGUUGUCCGGAAUCACUGGGCGUAAAGGGCGCGUAGGCGGCGCGGAUAGUCGGCGGUGAAAGCCCGGAGCUCAACUCCGGGUCGGCCGUCGAUACUUCCGGGCUUGAGCACUGUAGAGGCAGAUGGAAUUCCGGGUGUAGCGGUGGAAUGCGUAGAGAUCCGGAAGAACACCGGGUGGCGAAGGCGGUCUGCUGGGCAGUUGCUGACGCUGAUGCGC
rnacentral:rRNA from 1 species